rnacentral:lncRNA from 1 species
CGUCCAGAUCUAAUAGAACUGUCAAAACUCCGAUCAGGGAUCAAAUAUAUAAAAGUCAAACUUAGUCAACUCUUCCAACUCAAAACUUUUAAACGGAAUGUAAAUGCUCAAAACGACCGGUCAGGUCGUUACAUUUAAAUAAAGAGAUAAGGUCUAAAUUUAAUCAUCAAUUAAUACCCUAUCUAGUAGGUGCACAAUAACUUGACAAAAUAAUUAUAACGUAAAUAUAAUUAUCUAUAAAGUUGUGAAAAAAUAUUUAAAAAAUUAUGAAAACAUGAUAUCAACACCAAAUAUCAUUAGCUAUAGAUUUUUUAUUGUAAAAGACCUCAAUAGAUUGAGAGAGGUUAAUAUGAUAGAAUAACUAUUGUGGCUUUUCAUAACUAUGCAAGUUCACUUAAAUGUCUCCUCCUCCCCUUAACACAAAAGAGAAUACAAAACGGUCAAAUAAGUUCAAAAAAUGUUAAAGGAGAAAAACUGAAGCUCAUGCAGUAAAGGGAUCGAGAAUAAAACAUACUAGUGUAUGAUUCUAGAGGGAUCGUAGAUGGAGAAGCUUUUAGAGCUACCUUCUUUUAAUAAAUAUCAACAACAACAACAACAACAACAAUAACAAUAACCCAGUAUAAUCCCACUAGUGGGGUCUGGGGAGGGUAUUGUGUACGCAGACCUUACCCCUACCUUGGGGUAGAGAGGCUGUUUUCGAUAGACCCUCGGCUCCCUCCCUCCAAGAACUACCCACCUUGCUCUUGGGGUGACUCGAACUCACAACCUCUUGGUUGAAAGUGGAGGGUGCUCACUACUAGAGCAACACACUCUUGUCAUAUCUUUUUAUAAAUAUCAAUUUGUUGAUUUUGAUGAUGCGCUUCAUAAAAUUUAUCUCGUUCCACACUGUAAUUUCCCAGCUUUCUAAUAUGGAUUUGCACAGUUACAGAAUAAAUCAUGGUUAUAUAACAUCAUAAUUUUAUAUAGUAAAAAAGACUACAAUGAAACUCAAUAAGUUUAGUCUGCUUCUAAUACUGUAUCAUGAGAUGAGAAUCUCUAACAAUUUCAUUUUAUGAUUAUCAAAAUCCAAAAUUUAUCUAUAAAAUAAAGAUUCCACUCAAAUAUUUGUAUCUCUAUAACACAAAAAGGCAAAACAAACACAAAAAUACAACAUGUAAAAGAUAACUUUCGUGAAUUAGGAUAUGAGGAGAUAUGCUUUAAUAUUGUUACGAAGUCCAUGUACGUACGGGAAUUAUAUUCUUAUAGUAUUAUGAGACUUAGACUCCAAGAAAUCUUUGUUUAUAUAUUUUGUUAUAUUUCAUGUUUGAAUUUAUGAAAGAGAGGAUUUUUUUAAAAUAGUAUCAGAGCAAGUUAUUGAAUAUUUUUUUUUGUCUCUUCUCUUCACAGUUCACAAUUUAAUAGCGAGACAAAAGGAGCUAUGGAUGACGACUUAAUUUUUGAACGUGCGUCAUCCAUAUUACUCUAUGGAUAUAGUGAUUCAGAUUGGGGAGGUAACGUUGAUGAUCGUAGGUCCACUGUUGGAUUUGCUAUUUUUUCUUGUUGGCUUGCACUUGAUUUCUUAGGCCUCUCUGAAGCGAAAAAUUAUCUCGCAGUCAAGCACUAAGGUAGAAUAUUGAGCACUAGUUAUUGCCAUGUCUGGAAUCACAUGUGGUACACCUCCCUUUUCCUGAAGGUAUAGGAUUUGUUUUCCAAUUUAAAGUGACAUGAUUCAAAAUGAGAUUAUUUAUUUAUUUAUUCAGAGUCACCACUUGGAAUAAUUUAUGGUGUCUCAAGUCACCGGAUUAUUUUAAAUCCCAAAUCGAGAAAAUUUGACUCUGUUUAAAGUCUGCAAAUACAUAAGACCGGGUAAGGAAUUCUGUUAACUCGGAAAAAUGUGUUAUGCAUUCCCGAGUUCCGUGGUUUUAGCACGGUCGCUUAACUAUUAAUAAUUGGUUAAUUACCUGAUUUAUUAUAUAUUUGGAACCUAUUGUGCAUUUUUAACUUCUAACCGCUUUUAAUAGAGUUUUAAUUGCUUUUAGGAUUUAUGAAAUUUAUUUGAAUAAGUCGCGAUAUCGCGCACUUAUUAUUUUUUUUACACAUUGUGAAUCGUGUCACGUGAAAUGUACCCGCGGUCUACAACAUGUUUAUUUUUAUUAUUGUUUGAAGUUGAGAUCGAGUCACGUGAAACGCACACUCGAAUUGGGGUUAUGUAUCAUGACUAUGCCACGGAAAAUGUACCCAUAGUCACGAUAAUUUAUUAAUCGCGCCAAAAGCAAGCUACGAAUUUGAAAUAUUUUUCCUCAUUUGAGAUUAUUGCAAAGCAUGAGAUUUAUGAAAGAUUAUUAUGGAGGAAAUAGAGUAAAUUAAUUAUAGAAAAAGGUAGGCUAGCUUAUGAAUUUUAUUAAUAUGCCUUGUAGAAUCUUGUCAUUUGGUCCAAGAGCUAAAAAAAGUAAAAAUAAAAUGUGGUUCAUUACUCUACUCUAAUCCCAAUUGACCAAAUGGUCCAAAUGCUAUUUAUGAUACCAAACCCCAAACCUUUAUCUUAAAAUCUAAAAUGUUUAUCACAUGUCCAUCAUCACCCCUAACAAAUGUUAACAAACAGAAAACAAUUUAACAGCUUAUGCAAAUUACGAACAGGAAAAGAAAGAAGAAAGAAAAAUUAAAUGAAAGAAAAAAUAAUAAAUUUAAAAAAAAACACUCAAACAAUCAGCACCUAUUUACAAGAAAAAUUCGCUCAAAAGGAAACUAUGAUUCCAAUUUAACAAACUUAAGACACUUUCGAAAGCUAAUCAUAAGAAGAACUAAAUAAUCAAGCUCAUAUAGCAGAAUAAAAGAAACUCAAUCCAUUUUCCACAUAUUACACAAAUAAAAAAUAUAUAUACUCAUAUGCUUAAGAAUAGAAUUAAAAAUUCAGUGAGAAAAACCAAUCUUAAUGGCUGAGAAGAAAACCAGAUCAAAGCAAAAAAGACCGACGAACCGAAGCUGUAAGCGAGAACCUCGAACGACUUCGAACUUUAAUUCUUACCUCGCUGAAUAAACGGCCUAUUAGUGUGUUUUGUGAGCUACGUUUUUGUAGGUUGUUUAGAGUAGAGAAGAGUGGUUUUCAAGCUGAAUUUAUGGGGAUCUCCAGCGAGUUUUGGGACUAUUUGCUAAAGGAUGGAACUUAGCUCAUGGGUUUUGGGUGAUUUUUGGCUGUAGAUCUCAAUUGCUGCGUUUUUCAGAAGAUAUUUCUGAUGAAGUGGUGUUGGAAGCAACAAUGAAUUCUUCUUCUUGUUGUUGCAUUAUCAUCUACCAUGUUUUCCAAUCGAAGGUCCUUGAGCUUAUCCAAGAUCCACCCGUUUUUCCCUCUUUAAAUUCCCUCACUCCCGAUCUGCCUUUUUCUCUUAUUUUUUAUUUUUUUGAUCUGUUGUGGAUCCCCUCUUGAAUCAUAGAAUGAGAGCCUUUUAAUGAUGUAGGUUAUUUUAGGGGGAAAAUCUGAUGGGGUUUUGGCUAUUGGGCUCAGAUUUGGCCCAAUUUGGGCCAUGACUUGGGCAUUUGAACAAAGCAAGACUUUAGGAGAACUAGUCCAAAUUAAAACUUUUUUUUUGUGAUUGUAAUUUUCUUUUAGGAUUUAUGAAAUUUAUUUGAAUAAGUUUCAAUGUCGCGCACUUAUUGUUUUUGUACACAUUAUGAAUCACGUCACGUGAAACACACCCGCGGUCUGCAACAUGUUUAUUUUUAUUAUUGUUUGAAGUUGAGAUCGAGUCACGUGAAACGCGCACUCGAAUUGGGGUUAUGUAUCAUGACUAUGGCACGGGAACCGUAUCCACAAUCACGAUGAUCGCGACUAAAGCAAGCUACAAAUUUGAACUAUUUUUCCUUUUUUGAGAUUAUUGCAAAGCAUGAGAGUUAUGGAAGAUUAUUAUGGAAGAAAUGGUGUAAAUUAAUUAUAAAAAAAGGUAGGCUAGCUUAUGAAUUUUAUUAUUAUGGGCCUUGUAGAAUCUUGUCAUUUGACCCAAGAACUAAAAAAAAUCUGGUUCAUUACUCUACUCUAAUCCUAGUUGACCGAAUGACCCAAAUGUUAUUUAUGAUAUCAAACCCCAAACUUUUAUCUUAAAAUCCAAAAUGUUCAUCAUAGAUCCAUCAUCACCCCUAACAAAUGUUAACAAACAGAAAACAACUUAAAACAACUUAUGCAAAUUACGAACAGGAAAAGAAAGAAUAAAGAAAAAUUAAAUGAAAGAAAAAUAAUAAAUUUAAAAAAAAACACUCAAAGAAUCAACACCUAUUUACAAGAAAAAAUCGCUCAAAAGGAAACUAUGAUUCCAAUUUAACAAACUUAAGACACUUUCGAAAGCUAAUCAUAAGGACUAAAUAAUCAAGCUCAUAUAGCAGAAUAAAAGAAACUCAAUUCAUUUUCCACAUGUUACACGAAUCAAAAACAUAUAAUCAUAUGCUUAAGAAUAGAAUUAAAAAUAUAGUGGGAAAAACCAACCUUAAUGGCUGAGAAGAAAACCGGAUCAAAACAAAAGAAGACUGACGAACCGGAGCUGUAAUCGAGAACCUCGAACGACUUCAAACUUUAAUUCUUACCUUGCUGAAUAAAUGACCUAUGAGUGCGUUUUGUGAGCUACGUUUUUGUAGGUUGUUUAGAGUAGAGAAGGGUGGUUUUCAAGCCGAAUUUAUGGGGAUCUCCAGCGAGUUUGGGGACUAUUUGCUAACGGAUGGAACUUAGCUCAUGGGUUUUGGGUAAUUUUUGGCUGUAGAUCUCAAUUGCUGCGUUUUUCAGAUGAUGUUUCUGAUGAAGUGGUGUUGGAAGCAACAAUGAAUUUUUCUUCUUCUUGUUGCAUUAUCAUUUGCCCUGUUUUCCAAUCGAAGGUCCUUGAGCUUAUCCAAGAUCCACCAGUUUUCCCCUCUUUAAAUUCCCUCACUCUCGAUUUGCCUUUUUCUCUCGUUUUUUAUUUUUUAAUCUGUUGCGGCUCCC